CGGCCUAGCUCAAUUGGUAGAGCAUCUGACUUUUAAUCAGAGGGUCAGAGGUUCGAAUCCUCUAUGGCUCA
rnacentral:tRNA from 2 species